rnacentral:tRNA from 1 species
UCCCAGGUAGCUCAGCUGGUAAAGAAUCCGCCUGCAAUGCGGGAGACCUGGGUUCAAUCCCUGGGUUGGGAA